ACCGCGGCGGGCGCACUGCUGCUGCCCAGGAUGUCUGGCCUCGGGGACAAUCGUAGAGGACCUCAAGAAAGUCUUAGACCGACUGAAGGAGCUGAAAAUAGGGGAGAAGGUGGACGAAGUUAUUCCGCUGCCCAAAGUUGAUGUUGACGUCUACAUCAACGCAGAGAGCCCGCUCGCCGUCAAUUUCUCACGUUGCCCUUUCGAGACGGACCUAUGCAUUGUGGAGUGCUACAACAAAAACAAGACAAAGCCCAUCAGAGGGCACUGCGGUGGAGUCUUGUGGCUGAAGUGCGUCUGUGAAGGCGAUUACACAAAAUAAAAAAAAUGAGCCAAUCGCAACUAC